AGGACGACGCUGGCGGCGUGCCUAACACAUGCAAGUCGAACGGAGAUAGGUUGAAAGCUUGCUGGAUACUUAUCUUAGUGGCGGACGGGCGAGUAACGCGUGAGCAACCUGCCCCAGACUGGGGGAUAACGUCGGGAAACCGGCGCUAAUACCGCAUAACACUGCGAAGCCGCAUGGUUUUGCAGUCAAAGCUCCGGCGGUUUGGGAUGGGCUCGCGUCCAAUUAGCUAGUUGGUGAGGUAACGGCCCACCAAGGCGACGAUUGGUAGCCGAACUGAGAGGUUGAUCGGCCGCAUUGGGACUGAGACACGGCCCAGACUCCUACGGGAGGCAGCAGUGGGGAAUAUUGCGCAAUGGGGGAAACCCUGACGCAGCAACGCCGCGUGGAGGAAGAAGGUCUUCGGAUUGUAAACUCCUGUCUUCUGGGACGAAGUAUGACGGUACCAGAGGAGGAAGCCACGGCUAACUACGUG
rnacentral:rRNA from 1 species